rnacentral:rRNA from 1 species
AGUGAACGCUGGCGGCGUGCCUAAUACAUGCAAGUCGAACGAAGUGGCGCUCGGGUGUGUAAUAUAUAGUUAAUCUGCCCUACACAGAGGAACAACAGUUACAAACGGCUGCCAAUACCUCAUAGUGUUGGAUGAGACUAUAUCGUAUCAGCUAGUUGUGAAGGUAAUGGCUUACCAAGGCUAUGACGCUUAACUGGUCUGAGAGGAUUAUCAGUCACAUUGUAUGUGAGACACGGUCCAAACUCCUACGGGAGGCAGCAAUAAGGAAUAUAGCGCAAUGGGGGAAGCCCUGACGGAGCAACGCCGCGUGGAGGAUGACACUUUUCGGAGCGUAAACUCCUUUUAUCAGGAAAGCGGUACCUGAUGAAUAAGCACCGGCUAACUCCGUGCCAGCAGCCGCGGUAAUUC